UACGGAGGGUGCAAGCGUUAUCCGGAUUCACUGGGUUUAAAGGGUGCGUAGGUGGGCAGUUAAGUCAGUGGUGAAAUCUCCGGGCUCAACCCGGAAACUGCCAUUGAUACUAUCUGUCUUGAAUAUCGUGGAGGUAAGCGGAAUAUGUCAUGUAGCGGUGAAAUGCUUAGAUAUCAAGUGGAACACCAGUGGCGAAGGCGAGUCUCUGGACAUUUCCUGACGCUGAGGCACGAAAGCCAGGGGAGCAAACGGG
rnacentral:rRNA from 1 species